rnacentral:rRNA from 1 species
ACGGAAGGUCCGGGCGUUAUCCGGAUUUAUUGGGUUUAAAGGGAGCGUAGGCCGGGGAUUAAGCGUGUUGUGAAAUGUAGACGCUCAACGUCUGCACUGCAGCGCGAACUGGUUUUCUUGAGUACGCACAAAGUGGGCGGAAUUCGUGGUGUAGCGGUGAAAUGCUUAGAUAUCACGAAGAACUCCGAUUGCGAAGGCAGCUCACUGGAGCGCAACUGACGCUGAAGCUCGAAAGUGCGGGUAUCGAACAG